UNGGAAUUACUGGGCGUAAAGCGGGCGCAGACGGUUACUUAAGCAGGAUGUGAANUCCCCGGGCUCAACCUGGGAACUGCGUUNUGAACUGGGUGACUAGAGUGUGUCAGAGGGAGGUAGAAUUCCACGUGUAGCAGUGAAAUGCGUAGAGAUGUGGAGGAAUACCGAUGGCGAAGGCAGCCUCCUGGGAUAACACUGACGUUCAUGCCCGAAAGCGUGGGUAGCAAACAGGAUUCGAUACCCUGGUAGUCCACGCCCUAAACGAUGUCGAUUAGCUGUUGGGCAGCAUGACUGCUUAGUAGCGAAGCUAACGCGUGAAAUCGACCGCCUGGGGAGUACGGUCGCAAGAUUAAAACUCAAAGGAAUUGACGGGGACCCGCACAAGCGGUGGAUGAUGUGGAUUAAUUCGAUGCAACGCGAAGAACCUUACCUGGUCUUGACAUGUACGGAACCCUCCAGAGACGGAGGGGUGCCUUCGGGAGCCGUAACACAGGUGCUGCAUGGCUGUCGUCAGCUCGUGUCGUGAGAUGUUGGGUUAAGUCCCGCAACGAGCGCAACCCUUGUCAUUAGUUGCCAUCAUUAAGUUGGGCACUCUAAUGAGACUGCCGGUGACAAGCCGGAGGAAGGUGGGGAUGACGUCAAGUCCUCAUGGCCCUUAUGACCAGGGCUUCACACGUCAUACAAUGGUCGGUACAGAGGGUAGCCAAGCCGCGAGGUGGAGCCAAUCUCACAAAACCGAUCGUAGUCCGGAUUGCACUCUGCAACUCGAGUGCAUGAAGUCGGAAUCGCUAGUAAUCGCAGGUCAGCAUACUGCGGUGAAUACGUUCCCGGGUCUUGUACACACCGCCCGUCACACCAUGGGAGUGGGGGAUACUAGAAG
rnacentral:rRNA from 1 species